GUCAUCCAUACGCCAAUCCAUAACGUAUGGAAGGGAACCCGGUGAACUGAAACAUCUAAGUAGCCGGAGGAAGAGAAAGAAACAUCGAUUCCGGGAGUAGCGGCGAGCGAAACUGGAAGAGCCCAAACCAGUGUGCGUGCAUGCUGGGGUUCGGACUGCACAAGUGACUUCCAAGAGUAAUAGAAUGGUUUUGGGAAAGCCAGCCAGAGAGGGUGAAAGCCCCGUACA
rnacentral:rRNA from 1 species